UGUCCGUAGUAAUAGUAAAAGUAGUAAUAGUAGUAGUAGUAGUAAAUUUACAAUUACUCAUCUCUAUAAAAAUAACGGCAAUAAAUUAAUUAAUAAUUCAAAUAUUAUUAAUAUUCGCCAUCAUGGAAUUAACUUCUUCACUGCAAAAAAAGUGAAAUAACAAAAUAAUAGCUUAGAAAUAAAUUAAAAUAAAAAUUACAUGAAACUAACUUGUGGUUUUAUAAUUUGGUGGAGAUUAAAGUAAAUUAAAAUUUUUCUAUUUACUUGUUUAUAAAUUUUGAAUUUUUGCAGUUGAUGGUGCGUCCCUGACACCCAACCCUGCUAAAUAUCAGCGGUUCUCCACCCGCAAAACUUGGACAGAGACUUGAUCGAUCACGAGCAGUAACCAGACAAACAGGUGACAAGCGGACAAAGACCGUUGCUGGUAUUGUCAUUCCGUAUUAUUGGAAUCAUUAUACUGAAAAUUUAUAAAUAUAUACUUGAUUAAUGGUGGAGAAAAAGUUAUUUUGUUUUGACAUGAAUUGAUAGAUUAUUUUGACAGCACAGCUACUGGUUACAUGUCCAUACGAGAAAUUAUUAUUCAUAUAUUAUGUGAUGUCAUGGGCAUACGAGUAUGUGAUAUAUUUUAUGUUGGAGCCCUCUGGAGACACGAAUGAAAAAGGAUUGGAGACUUCAAUGCUCACAUUUUUUACUGUCGUAUCAAAUAAAACAUUCGAUAAAUAAUUCAAUUUAAUUCUUGUAUCAAAAAAAAUUUCACAUCA